rnacentral:rRNA from 1 species
UGUCCCUAUUAUUGAAAAUGUAAAUUAAAAAUUAAGAUAGUAAUAGUUAUGUUCUUGAAACUUAAAAAAUUUGGCGGUAUUUUAGUCUAUUCAGAGGAACUUGUCUCAUAAUCGAUAAUCCACGAUGGACCUUACUUAAAUUUGUAUAGUUUAUAUACCGUCGUUAUUAGAAUAUUUUAAAAGAAUAAUAAUUUUCAUAAUUUUUAAAUUUAAAAUAUAUCAGAUCAAGGUGUAGCUUAUAUUUAAGUAGAGAUGGGUUACAAUAAAUUUAUUUAAACGAAUAUAAAUAUGAAAAAUUUAUUAAAGGAGGAUUUGAUAGUAAAAUUAUAAAGAUUAAUAAUUUGAUUUUAGCUCUAAAAUAUGUACAUAUCGCCCGUCGCUCUUAUUAUUAAGGUAAGAUAAGUCGUAACAUAGUAGAUGUACUGGAAAGUGUAUCUAGAACGCAAUUUAAAGCUUUUUUUUAGUAAAGUAUUUCAUUUACAUUGAAAUGAUUAUUGUGCAAUUCAAUAUAAAUUGAUUAGAUUUUAUUUAUUAAUUUAUUUAUAAUUUUAUAUAUUUUAUUAAAAAUAUUUAUAAUUUUUUUUUUGUUUUAGUAUUAUAUUAAGAAAAAAUAAUUUUUAUUAUAGUUUAAUAGUAUUGUGAGAGAAAAUUGAAAUAUAUUGAAAAAUUAUUAUAAUAAAAGAAAAUUUAAUUUAU